UCGUCACACUAUCAUUAACUGAAUCCAUAGGUUAAUGAGGCGAACCGGGGGAACUGAAACAUCUAAGUACCCCGAGGAAAAGAAAUCAACCGAGAUUCCCCCAGUAGCGGCGAGCGAACGGGGAGGAGCCCAGAGCCUGAAUCAGCAUGUGUGUUAGUGGAAGCGUCUGGAAAGGCGCGCGAUACAGGGUGACAGCCCCGUACACAAAAGCGCAUGUGCUGUGAGCUCGAUGAGUAGGGCGGGACACGUGGUAUCCUGUCUGAAUAUGGGGGGACCAUCCUCCAAGGCUAAAUACUCCUGACUGACCGAUAGUGAACCAGUACCGUGAGGGAAAGGCGAAAAGAACCCCGGCGAGGGGAGUGAAAAAGAACCUGAAACCGUGUACGUACAAGCAGUGGGAGCACAGGUUUACCUG
rnacentral:rRNA from 4 species